CAACAAAUAGUGAAUAUCUUUUUAUCGUAGUGAAUAUCUUUUUAUCUCCAAAUUACGGAAAAUUAUCAAUUAAUUUAAAAAUGGUUUUAGCUUUUGGCAUAGCUUUUGGCAAUGGAUUAAAGUGUAUAAUUGCUUAUAGCAGACAAGCUGUCUGUAUAUUUAUAACAUCUCUUCUUGGGAGACCGAAUUCAAAUGAUUUUAAAAAGAACUUCUUUAUUCUGAAUCACCGGCGUGUUAUCUAAAUUAGGUGAACGAGCAUGGUUGCAAAAUAAUGUGAAUUAUGGCUUUUAAUUUUCAAGUUGAAAAAUAUAUAGUAAAUGAUGUCAUUCAAAAUCGGC